rnacentral:tRNA from 1 species
GGGCCAGUAGCUCAGCUUGGAUAGAGCGAUAGCCUUCUAAGCUAUAGGUCCGGGGUUCGAAUCCUCGCUGGCCCG